rnacentral:rRNA from 1 species
UGAGGAAUAUUGCGCAAUGGGGGCAACCCUGACGCAGCAACGCCGCGUGAGUGAGGAAGGUUUUCGGACCGUAAAGCUCUGUCGAGCGGGAAGAAAUGCAUGGUGGCUAAUAUCCAUCAUGCUUGACGGUACCGCUAAAGGAAGCACCGGCUAACUCCGUGCCAGCAGCCGCGGUAAUACGGGGGGUGCGAGCGUUGUUCGGAAUUAUUGGGCGUAAAGAGCGUGUAGGCGGCCGAAUAAGUCAGAUGUGAAAUCCCUGGGCUUAAACCAGGACGUGCAUUUGAAACUAGUCGGAUAGAGGAGGGGAGAGGAAAGUGGAAUUCCUGGUGUAGAGGUGAAAUUCGUAGAUAUCAGGAGGAACACCGGUGGCGAAGGCGGCUUUCUGGCCCUAUACUGACGCUGAGACGCGAGA